rnacentral:rRNA from 1 species
GACGAACGCUGGCGGCGUGCUUAAUACAUGCAAGUCGAACGGAAAGGCCCUGCUUUUGUGGGGUGCUCGAGUGGCGAACGGGUGAGUAACACGUGAGUAACCUGCCCUUGUCUUUGGGAUAACUUCAGGAAACUGGGGCUAAUACCGGAUAGGAGCUCCUGCUGCAUGGUGGGGGUUGGAAAGUUUCGGCGGUUGGGGAUCGACUCGCGGCUUAUCAGCGUGUUGGUGGGGUAGUGGCUUACCAAGGCUUUGACGGGUAGCCGGCCUGAGAGGGUGACCGGCCACAUUGGGACUGAGAUACGGCCCAGAAUCCUACGGGAGGCAGCGGUGGGGAAUAUUGCACAAUGGGCGGAAGCCUGAUGCAGCAACGCCGCGUGCGGGAUGACGGCCUUCGGGUUGUAAACCGCUUUCGCCUGUGACGAAGCGUGAGUGACGGUAAUGGGUAAAGAAGCACCGGCUAACUACGUG